rnacentral:rRNA from 1 species
CAGUCGCCGCGGGAAUACGAAGGGUGCAAGCGUUAAUCGGAAUUACUGGGCGUAAAGCGUGCGUAGGCGGUGAGUUAAGUCUGCUGUGAAAUCCCCGGGCUCAACCUGGGAAUGGCAGUGGAUACUGGCUCGCUAGAGUGUGUCAGAGGAUGGUGGAAUUCCCGGUGUAGCGGUGAAAUGCGUAGAGAUCGGGAGGAACAUCAGUGGCGAAGGCGGCCAUCUGGGACAACACUGACGCUGAGGCACGAAAGCGUGGGGAGCAAACAGGAUUAGAUACCCGAGUAGUCCCUGUCUCUUAUAC